UACGGGGGGGGGUAAGCGUUGUUCGGAAUUACUGGGCGUAAAGGGCGCGUAGGCGGCCCCUUUUGUCGCGUGUGAAAGCCCCCGGGCUCAACCUGUGAAUGCCGCUGGAAACUGUCUGGCUAGAGUCCGGAAGGGGCGAGUGGAAUUCCUGGUGUAGCGGUGAAAUGCGCAGAUAUCAGGAGGAACACCUAUGGCGAAGGCAGCUCGCUGGGACGGUACUGACGCUGAGGCGCGAAAGCGUGGGGAGCGAACAGG
rnacentral:rRNA from 1 species